rnacentral:rRNA from 1 species
UACGUAGGGGGCCAGCGUUGUCCGGAUUUAUUGGGCGUAAAGAGCUCGUAGGCGGUUUGUCGCGUCGGCCGUGAAAUCUCCACGCUUAACGUGGAGCGUGCGGUCGAUACGGGCAGACUUGAGUUCGGUAGGGGAGACUGGAAUUCCUGGUGUAGCGGUGAAAUGCGCAGAUAUCAGGAGGAACACCGGUGGCGAAGGCGGGUCUCUGGGCCGUAACUGACGCUGAGGAGCGAAAGCGUGGGGAGCGAACAGG